GGGUCUGGUUGUGUACCAGACACAUUCGCCUGAAAGUCCCUUCCUUGAAGUUUGCUCCUCGUUACAUUGGUCCUUACAGGGUGCUGAGGAGGAUCAACCCGGUUUCUUAUUUGCUGGAUCUACCUCCUACUCUACACAUCCCUAACUCUUUUCAUGUGUCUUUAUUGAAACCUCUUGUUUGUAACAGAUUUUCCUCCCACUCUGCUCCUCCAUCCUCGGUCCGUGUGGAUGGUCAGGAGGAAUAUAUCAUCAAGUCCAUCCUUGAUUCUCGUAUUUCUAGGGGGAAGCUGCAAUACCUCAUUGACUGGAAAGGUUAUGGUCCAGAAGAGAGGUCUUGGGUUCCUGGUAUAGACGUGCAUGCCCCUCGUCUUCUUCGGGCAUUCCACGUUCAUUUUCCUUCUAAGCCCGGUCCCAUCCGCCCGGUGGGCGUUUCUAGAAGGGGGGGUACUGUCAGGGUACCUGUUGGUGCU